UGUUAGUCACGCCGAUAUACAGCGUGCCGUGCUUUCCGCUGGCGAGAAUGUAGACGUAGUACAUGGCGCGACCCGUUGCGCCGAUAGGAAAUCACUUUCAGGCGUUUUGUGAAAGCAGUCGUACGAGAGCGGAGAACUCCCUGAGCGAAAAUGUGAUGUUAGGGGUUAUGGGUCCCCGCCUUCGCGGGGACGNUCUGAAGAUAGUUCCCGUUAGGCGCGCGAGCAAAGAAUGAGAAUUGAAGAAAGCGCCCAAAUG
rnacentral:misc_RNA from 1 species